rnacentral:sRNA from 1 species
UGGGUAUAGUAUUUGAUAUAAUUUUGAAUUUGUUUAGUAUGUCAGGAUCGUAAGAUAGCAGCAUAAAAUAAAAUAUCAAGGUUAGUAUUAAAUCUAUAUCUA